AUUGACUGAAGGAGACACCAUCUAUGCAGCUGUGGUGAUGCCAUCAUCCAUGCUACAUGUAGACUUUCCUGCAGAGGAGCUUUGGUGAACCUACGCUCCUGUAACCAAGCAACCUGUCACCUAUGCUCUUUCUUCAGCUUUCAUCAAGAAGCCUCUUAGUCAAGAGCCAGUCAGCUGACAGGAAAUAUCAUCAGGUAUCUGAAGAGAGAGGGGACAAGACAUAUUGACAAGAAUGAAGCUAUUAACCAGGACGGAAAAAAAAAAGUCAGCCCCACUCAAAGAUGUAGAAAGAGAAAAUGGAAUCCACCGUCUUCAGUAUCUCUGCCUGCUCCAGUUCACCACAGCGUUCCUAUUUACAUUCAAACCCCACACAUCUUACCAAAGGAGAAGAUAAAGCUGAUGGAAGCCAUCAUGGACCAUCCUACCAGCAUCAAAAUAUAUCUACAGCAGUGGAUGCAUAGAGACACUGCACUUACAAACAACAGCAGAUACUCCCAAAUCUCAGGAUCAAACAGAACAGUGUGUGCCGGUGUGGGGUUGUGGGGUAAUGUCGUGAACCGGAGAAGAGACGGGGAGACUAGGUAGCGUCUGCUGAGCGCCAGGCAGGGACUGUGAAAGCAGUCCAUUCCAGGGUAGAAGGAAGCAGGGAGAGGUGGAGAGGCCUGAGCAGCCAGCCUCCUACACAGCAGCGGGGGGUUGAUAAGCUGAUUCCCCACGGGUCCUGCACAGGGCCUCAUGGGAAGGAACCUUCUGGGUCCCCGGAACCCGCAAUACUUAGGACGGUCUUAAGUGCCUCUUGGAAGCUCAGCGGCUUGUUAACUUGUCACACGUAAAGGCAGGAGAGAGGCCUGACAUUUUUCUGACGCCUGGAAGCGAAAGAAGAAAAGCUUCUGACACUCAGGGCCACAUCCUGAACGACAGGGGUCAGUGUGUGCAACCGAUCCGUGUGGGCGCAGGCUUCUAAUUAUUUCCUGGAUAACCUGUUAUCUAUUAUCCAUCAGGCUCCUUGCCAGAAUAUGCAGACGUCUCCUGAGACCUUCGAGUUCCUGCUCUUAAAGGGGACGCAGA